UAGGGAAUCUUUGGCAAUGGGGGCAACCCUGACCGAGCAACGCCGCGUGAGUGAAGAAGGUUUUCGGAUCGUAAAGCUCUGUUGUAAGUCAAGAACGAGUGUGAGAGUGGAAAGUUCACACUGUGACGGUAGCUUACCAGAAAGGGACGGCUAACUACGUGCCAGCAGCCGCGGUAAUACGUAGGUCCCGAGCGUUGUCCGGAUUUAUUGGGCGUAAAGCGAGCGCAGGCGGUUUGAUAAGUCUGAAGUUAAAGGCUGUGACUCAACCAUAGUUCGCUUUGGAAACUGUCAAACUUGAGUGCAGAAGGGGAGAGUGGAAUUCCAUGUGUAGCGGUGAAAUGCGUAGAUAUAUGGAGGAACACCGGUGGCGAAAGCGGCUCUCUGGUCUGUAACUGACGCUGAGGCUCGAAAGCGUGGGGAGCGAACAGGAUUAGAUACCCUGGUAGUCCACGCCGUAAACGAUGAGUGCUAGGUGUUGGAUCCUUUCCGGGAUUCAGUGCCGCAGCUAACGCAUUAAGCACUCCGCCUGGGGAGUACGACCGCAAGGUUG
rnacentral:rRNA from 1 species